rnacentral:ncRNA from 1 species
AUAAAUACGAUGAAUUGAAAGAGUAAACUAGGCGUUUAGGCAAAGAGAGUAUCGGGUUGGUGUGACGAUAUCCAAAUAAAUAGUUGAAUACAUCAAGGAGUAGAAUGUUGAAGUAAGUAGGCAUCUCCGGUGACACCCGUUAAUGUGUAAGAGUAUGAACUAUAGUUGUAUAGCGUACUUGAUGAGGCUGAUAGAGUGAUCUAUUAGUGAAUAAAGGUGGUACCACGAAGAUAUCUCGUCCUUUGA